rnacentral:rRNA from 1 species
GUCGAACGGACUCAUAUUGAAACCUAGUGAUUUAUGAGUUAGUGGCGGACCGGUGAGUAACGCGUGGAUAACCUGCCGUAUACCGGGGGAUAACACUUAGAAAUAGGUGCUAAUACCGCAUAAGCGCACGGCUCCGCAUGGGGCAGUGUGAAAAACUCCGGUGGUAUACGAUGGAUCCGCGUCUGAUUAGCUAGUUGGCGGGGUAACGGCCCACCAAGGCAGCGAUCGGUAGCCGGCCUGAGAGGGUGGACGGCCACAUUGGGACUGAGACACGGCCCAAACUCCUACGGGAGGCAGCAGUGGGGAAUAUUGCACAAUGGGGGAAACCCUGAUGCAGCGACGCCGCGUGAGUGAAGAAGUAUCUCGGUACGUAAAGCUCUAUCAGCAGGGAAGAAAAUGACGGUACCUGACUAAGAAGCCCCGGCUAACUACGUGCCAGCAGCCGCGGUAAUACGUAGGGGGCAAGCGUUAUCCGGAUUUACUGGGUGUAAAGGGAGCGUAGACGGCAGCACAAGUCUGGAGUGAAAUCCCGGGGCUUAACCCCGGAACUGCUUUGGAAACUGUGCGGCUGGAGUGCAGGAGGGGUAAGCGGAAUUCCUAGUGUAGCGGUGAAAUGCGUAGAUAUUAGGAGGAACACCGGUGGCGAAGGCGGCUUACUGGACUGUAACUGACGUUGAGGCUCGAAAGCGUGGGGAGCAAACAGGAUUAGAUACCCUGGUAGUCCACGCCGUAAACGAUGAUUACUAGGUGUCGGGGGAUCAAGGUCCUCCGGUGCCGGCGCAAACGCAUUAAGUAAUCCACCUGGGGAGUACGUUCGCAAGAAUGAAACUCAAAGGA